UGAGUAACCUGCCCUUAACUCUGGGAUAAGCCUGGGAAACUGGGUCUAAUACCGGAUAUGACCUCCUGUCUCAUGGCGGGGUGGUGGUAAAGUUUUUUCGGGUGGGGGAUGGACUCGCGGCCUAUCAGCUUGUUGGGUGGGGUGAUGGCCUACCAAGGCGACGACGGGUAGCCGGCCUGAGAGGGCGACCGGCCACACGUGGGACUGAGACACGGCCCAGACCUCCGUACGGGAGCAG
rnacentral:rRNA from 1 species